rnacentral:pre_miRNA from 1 species
CCGUGACCGUGAUGGUCAUGGUCAUGGUCAUGGUCAUGGUCAUGGUCAUGGUCAUGGUCAUGGUCAUGGUCAUGGUCAUGGUCAUGGUCG